rnacentral:misc_RNA from 1 species
CAUGGGCAGGUUGAAGGUGCGGUAACACGCACUGGAGGUCCGAACCGAUUAACGUUGAAAAGUUACCGGAUGAGUUGUGUUUAGGGGUGAAAGGCCAAUCAAGCCGGGAAAUAGCUGGUUCUCCGCGAAAACUAUUGAGGUAGUGCCUCGGAUGGACACCUUAUGGGGUAGAGCACUGGAUGGUUGCGGGGGUCGCGAGAUCUACCAAUACUAACCAAACUCCGAAUACAUAAGAGUGAUAUCCGGGAGACAGACGGCGGGUGCUAAGGUCCGUCGUCAAAAGGGAAACAGCCCUGACCUACAGCUAAGGUCCCCAAGUCACGUCUAAGUGGGAAAGCAUGUGGGAAUCCCAAAACAACCAGGAGGUUGGCUU